rnacentral:lncRNA from 1 species
GAGAAGUACAGACCUGAGUAUAAUGGAGACCUCUAGCCUCUAAUCAUGGGCACUAAAGGGGAUUGCAGACUUGAAGGGAUUGAACCAACUACUGCAAGUCAUGGGCAUUCAAUGUUUUGUAAGAGACAACCAGUCAAUUCAAAGAUGCAGGCAGGCGGAGAAGGAUGGCCAUGUUCGCCAAAGCAUAAUGGAAGAUGUUGAUGAAACCGCACUGUUGAAACAAAUGGAGCGGGAGAAAAUGCCUCCUCCUCCAAAGCCAAAGCCCCCCACUGACAAGGUACUGGCAGCAAAAAAGAUCCAGUCCUGAUGGUGGGGCACGCUGGUGCAAUGCACACUACUGCACGUGACCCUCAGAGCUUUGAUCAUUCAGUGCUGGUGGAGGCAGGUGCUGGCAAGGCUGCAGGCGAAGAGGCAGCGGGCAGCACUGGAGCUCUGUGCACGGCAGCUAUGGGCAGCAGUCAGGCUGCAGUCCUGGGUCCGCAUGUGGCGUGUCCGCUGGCGUUACUGUCGUUUGCUCAACGCUGUCCGCAUCAUCCAGGUCUAUUGGCGCUGGAGAAGUUGCCAUACCCGUGGCUUUUUCCAUGGCAGCUACGAGCUCACAACAAGCCAGCUGAGCCUUGAGCUUGACAUCUUCCUGGGAUCACAUAUUUGCCGAAUUACAGACUGCAUCCCCUUCCCAAUAAAGAAGUGACAAGGUGCUCCAA